rnacentral:lncRNA from 1 species
GCAGGACACAAACCUGAGAGGGCAGGAAGUCCACGCUGCCACCACGGGGUCACCACAGGGAGCCUGGUGGGGACACAGAGUAAAAAGAAUAGAAAAUAACCAAAUGUCAAGACUGCAACUGGGGUGGAGCCAAGCUGCUGCGGAUGUUGCCAAGGGCCCUUCCCGGGAGAGCCAGGUGGGGUACCCACAUGCCACCUUCUCCUCAGGUGGAGCCACCGCCUGUGGCCUCCUGUGGGGCCAGCCUGGACUGCAGCUGCCAGGACCUAGUGAUGGCCCCAAACCUGAGAGUGGGCCCAGAGUCCCACCCCGCUAACCAUGCUGAAAAAGGCCACAGGGCACAUGAAGCCUUUGCUCCCUGGAUCAGGUCACGCUCUCCAGUUUUCCUUCCAGGAGGACAGGCCAUGCACUAAAAAACAGCUGCAGAGGAAAGGCUGGACCAGGUGUGCUGGGAGUCACCAGGAGCAAGGUGGUGAAGGAGCACAUGAAUCCGGGCAACGUGACUUAAGAGCUGGCUGAUGUUCCAGGACAGCACAAAAGAACGGAACUUGUUUUCAUGCUAUGAGUGCGCAAACCAAUGGGCAGUUUUUGGGGUUACUCGUGAUUGCUCCUCGGUCCAGAGUUCAGGCAGCAAUCUGAGCCACUCAACUGCUCUUCUUUACCCCUCUACCUCUGCAGUUCAUUGGGGGACAGAGCUGGGCCAGGAUCCUGGGACAGAAGGAGGAGGCGGGCCCAGGAAAGUCCACUUGGGGUAACACACAAUUUGUACAUAAAAAAGAAAUGUUCACCUCUUUGUAUGUACCGUAGUAAUUAUUUCACCUUCUUUUAUGAACUUGCACAUUUUCAGAGAGAGUUAAAUUAAGCAGAGUCUGAAAGUGGAGAAUUCUCACAUAGAUAAAAGAAUGGGGACCUGAAAUUGGGUCAUCAGGAAGUGUCUUGUGGCAAAAUACACUUAGUAUCGAACUGAAGGAAGAAAUAUUUCAAACAUUUUCUUUAAGGAAAACUUAAUGGAUGUGACUUAAUAUUGUCUAGACUGACCUAGCAGCACAAGGUGGUGCGUUCAAGGACUUUUCAUCUCAAUCCACAGGAAAAGGGUUCGAUUUAGAUGAGAAAGAGGGAGCGGGGCACAGCUAGACUGGAGAGGCAUCCUGUCCACGGAUUAGUCUUCACUCUUCAUGUGGGCAGUAGAAUGGUAAACGGGACCUUCUUAAAACAGCAGCUCCCAAACACUGGGAG